rnacentral:rRNA from 1 species
AUGGACGAGGUGAUUUGGUUCCCCGGCUCAGAUGCACCUGAAAUCCUGGGCGUUGAAUUCUGCGUCGGGAUGCUGGAAAAUGGUCCUGUCGUGUCAGAGCGCUUGCGUGGGAAAAUGGCAUACGAGAGGACUUCAGACGGAAAGCGGAUAAGAAGUGCGGCGAAGGAAGAAUGCAUCGUUGACGCAGUCGGUUCAGUCCACGGGGAAGGUGAAGCCGGAAGGACCGGGCUGGACGAAGAGAGGAACCAUCAGACUGUAAUUAGGCCGGAACUGGGAAUUAGUUCCAACUCGCUGUGUGAGACAUGUGACUUCUACAACAUGUAUUCUUCAGAGAUAGGGUUUGAUAUACGUUAUGGGAGGAGCAGACUAAACCCAGAGAUGACUAAAUCCAUGCAGGAGAUUGUUUGCGGGUGUUCGGCGAGUCUUGCGUACUUUGUUGCUAAAUUAUGUCACUAUUUGACAUGCUGUCCGACCUUUUUUGUAGGAGUGAACAAUCAUUUUCAGAGCAUUAUAUUGGUUGGAUUUUUUAUGAGGGUUGAGCAAGUCGAGAGUCUUGAGUGGGUAUUUUCUGAGUUCCUAAAUACGAUGGGCAGGUUGGUGCCGAAGUCCAUCGUCACAGGAACACUAGAAGCUGGAGAGAACGGAGAAGCCCAGUUUUUAGGAUCAAAAGAGAAACUGAAAGUUGUGGACUUGAUCGGUCGCUCUAUUGCGUUGUACGCGAGGGACAGAUGA